UGGGGAAUCUUCCGCAAUGGACGAAAGUCUGACGGAGCAACGCCGCGUGAGUGAAGAAGGUUUUCGGAUCGUAAAACUCUGUCUUUUGGGGCGAACGUGAGUAUGGUGAACAAUCAUAGUCAGUGACGGUACCAAAGGAGGAAGCCACGGCUAACUACGUGCCAGCAGCCGCGGUAAUACGUAGGUGGCAAGCGUUGUCCGGAAUUAUUGGGCGUAAAGAGCGCGUAGGCGGGAUAGUCAGUCUGUUGUAAAGUGCGGGCUCAACCCCGUGAUGGCAAUGGAAACAGCUAUUCUUGAGUGCAGGAGAGGAAAGUGGAAUUCCCAGUGUAGCGGUGAAAUGCGUAGAUAUUGGGAGGAACACCAGUGGCGAAGGCGACUUUCUGGACUGUGUCUGACGCUGAGGCGCGAAAGCCAGGGGAGCGAACGGGAUUAGAUACCCCGGUAGUCCUGGCCGUAAACGAUGGGUACUAGGUGUGGGGGGUAUCGACCCCUUCCGUGCCGGAGUUAACGCAAUAAGUACCCCGCCUGGGAAGUACGAUCGCAAGAUUAAAACUUAAAGGAAUUGACGGGGGUCAUAGCUGUUUCCUG
rnacentral:rRNA from 1 species